CUCUCUCUCUCUCACUUCUCCAUUAUCACACAACUCUCUCUCUCUCUCUCUCUUUCAAAAUCAAAGACAAUUCCAAGCAUCUCUCUUGGGCUGCAGACAGGAGGGGGAAGCCAAUCUUUUUGAGGGGAAUGUUGUCUGGCUCGAGGUCGCGAACCGUAGAUCCGCCGUUUUUCCUCUCCAAUCUGGUCAAUUGUCCUCUAGAUCUUCGGAUCGCCGCUCGAAUCGGUCACCGAUCUAGCGUUAACGACGUCGGACCAGGCUUCAUUCCCCCCAAUUAUUGCUCUUCCAAUCUUCAAGAACGUCUCAAACGCCUGAGGGGCAAGAAAGAAGGAGAGGCGAGUGAUGUGAUUUGUGAUGAAUGAUGGGACCUCUGAUGUUGCUAGACCUUCUAGUGUUGUCUUGUGCAAGAAGAGUUGCUUUGUACUACUCCACAUGAAAUGAACACUCUCCAUUAUUUUAUUAGAAAACCGCUACCCAUUUGAUUUAAUUUAGGAACACAUUAAAUAAAGGAAUCUCCGCACGUAAUUUUUGGAAACAACUUUACUAAUAUUUUUUUUCGUGGAGAGAAAUUUGUUUAUCCAUAUCCACAAUGACAUACGCUGGGCAUAUCAAGAGACACAGAAUGAUUUGAUUUAUAAACGUAGAGAGCAAGGAGUUUUCUGAGUUUGUUCCCUUGACAGUCUUAAAGAAAGAACAGAUGAUAACAGCCAAUCCCAUUUCUGUCCAUGAAUCAAACAUAUUCCUAUGUGUCAUCUUGUUUCCUUUACCUCUGAGUUCUUCAGUUAGGGUUUAGAGAGACAAUGUGAUUAUAAAGGAGAACAACCAGGAGAGGAACGUCAUCAAGAGGAAACAAUGAUCUGUUUUGUUCUUGUUAAUGAUGAUGUGAUUUUAGUGCUGUGUGCAUCAUUCUGCCAUCAAUUUCUGCAGCCAAGAGAAGACCACACUGGGCUUGAGACUGUGUCAUAAAUGGCUCCUUCUGACUACUCACUCUCUCUCUCUCUCUCUCUCUCUCUCUCUCUCCUAAUAGAUUUUCUCUCUCUUCCACAUACACACAACGAAGUGGAGUCAACAUCAGCAUUUACCACGGGAAUUCACCUUUACCCAGAAGACUGUGAUCAUUAAUUCAUCAUGGAUUACGAUGUAUCCUCUGUGCAUUUGACAGUGUACUGAUGCAUGUAAACAUUUUUCUUUUUUGGUUUGAAUCUCAUCAAAGAUGGUGAAACAGCCAAGUCGUUUUCCCAAUUAAUUAUCAGUAGUCAUGUUCAUAUCACGUGAACUAUGUGUCCAUGUCCAUACGAAAUUUUGGUUCAUAUAUGGACACGACACUACAAGUACAAACGCUCGUUCUAUGAUUAAUACGUGGGACGGUGACCUAGAUAAGUGCUUUGUAGAUAAACUAUCGACGCGAAAUGGCUCAUGAGAGCAGAUGCAAAGACUUGAUGUGUUCUUGUCUGUCUAUCUAUCGGCUGUGUAUAUGGGUUACUUUUGUUACUAUGUAGAAACUGAAUAAGAUGCACUAAUUGGGAUUUGUGCGGUGCGUGCACAUUGCUCCAUGAAUUUGAACUCAAUUACCUGAAA